UACAGAGGUCUCAAGCGUUGUUCGGAUUCAUUGGGCGUAAAGGGUGCGUAGGUGGCGCCGUAAGUCAGGUGUGAAAUCUCGGGGCUUAACUCCGAAACUGCAUUUGAUACUGCGGUGCUUGAGGACUGGAGAGGAGACUGGAAUUUACGGUGUAGCGGUGAAAUGCGUAGAUAUCGUAAGGAAGACCAGUGGCGAAGGCGGCUCACUGGCCCGAUACUGACGCUGAGGCACGAAAGCGUGGGGAGCAAACAGG
rnacentral:rRNA from 1 species